rnacentral:rRNA from 1 species
UACGGAGGGUGCAAGCGUUAUCCGGAUUUACUGGGUUUAAAGGGUGCGCAGGCGGAUAUGUAAGUCAGUGGUGAAAUCUCUAGGCUUAACCUGGAAAUUGCCGUUGAUACUAUAUAUCUUGAAUGCUGUGGAGGUAAGCGGAAUAUGUCAUGUAGCGGUGAAAUGCUUAGAUAUGACAUAGAACACCUAUUGCGAAGGCAG